GGUUGCCUACCCCUACACUAAAGUGUGAAUCAUGAAGAGAAGAUUUGCAUGCCCUUGCACAAGGAGGAUACAGCAGUUUUGUGAUGUUGCGUUCCAUAUUUUU